rnacentral:rRNA from 1 species
GAUGAACGCUGGCGGCGUGCCUAAUACAUGCAAGUCGAGCGAACGGACGAGAAGCUUGCUUCUCUGAUGUUAGCGGCGGACGGGUGAGUAACACGUGUAUAACCUACCUAUAAGACUGGGAUAACUUCGGGAAACCGUAGCUAAUACCGGAUAAUAUUUUGAACCGCAUGGUUCAAAAGUGAAAGACGGUCUUGCUGUCACUUAUAGAUGGAUCCGCGCUGCAUUAGCUAGUUGGUAAGGUAACGGCUUACCAAGGCAACGAUGCAUAGCCGACCUGAGAGGGUGAUCGGCCACACUGGAACUGAGACACGGUCCAGACUCCUACGGGAGGCAGCAGUAGGGAAUCUUCCGCAAUGGGCGAAAGCCUGACGGAGCAACGCCGCGUGAGUGAUGAAGGUCGUCGGAUCGUAAAACUCUGUUAUUAGGGAAGAACAUAUGUGUAAGUAACUGUGCACAUCUUGACGGUACCUAAUCAGAAAGCCACGGCUAACUACGUG